rnacentral:rRNA from 1 species
AAUCAACGCUGGCGGCGUGCCUAACACAUGCAAGUCGAACGCGAAAGUCCCGCAAGGGAUGAGUAGAGUGGCAAACGGGUGAGUAACGCGUGGGUGACCUGCCUUCGAGCGGGGGAUAACGUCCCGAAAGGGACGCUAAUACCGCAUAACAUCCUGCUUUUUAACAAGUGGAGAUCAAAGCUGGGGAUCGCAAGACCUAGCACUCGAAGAGGGGCCCGCGUCUGAUUAGCUAGUUGGUGAGGUAACGGCUCACCAAGGCGACGAUCAGUAUCCGGCCUGAGAGGGCGGACGGACACACUGGGACUGAGACACGGCCCAGACUCCUACGGGAGGCAGCAGUGGGGAAUUGUUCGCAAUGGGCGCAAGCCUGACGACGCAACGCCGCGUGGAGGAUGAAGACCU